ensembl:lncRNA
GUCUACUAACAUGGCCUGGUGCAUGAACCCAAUAUUCGUGUUGUGACACCUGUGAUUGAUGCAAUGAUGGUUUUUCUUUUCACUUCGUAUUGUGACCCUGACAACGUUAACACGCGCACACGUCUUCAAUUCAUUCAACCUCUCCAUCUCAAACUGUGACCUCCACAUCCGUCGUAGUAGGCCUUUGUGAUUACAACAGUGAAAUGACACAGUCACGGAUUAAGCAGUGCUAUUCCAACGGCUAAUCAAAACAAACAGCCGUUGAUUGUACGCUUUGUGAUAGUGCCGGCUGGCUGUUCCUCAAGAGCGCGCACACAUCCGUUGGUCGGGCUGCUGAUUGUUUACUCGCGGGGUAUUGUGUACCCCUUUCCCCCCCCCCCCCGACUCCAGCACUCCGGAGGGAGGGGAACGGAAGGGACGCAGCGAUGAGUGCCAAAGUCGACAUGGACGUUCCAACCAAAGAGCCGGACCGUACGCCACCAGUCUCCUCUUCCUCCUCCUCUUCCUCCACCACCACCUCCUCCUCGAACACCUCCUCCUCCUCUUCCUCCUCCACCACCUCCUCCUCCUCCUCCUCUUCCUCCUCCUCGCCCCCCACCGACACCAUCCUCGUGUGCAGCAAAGAGGGGACGUCCAAGGGCCCCCUUCUUCCUCCCCCACCACCUCCUCCAGCUCCUUCUCCGUUGACCCAGACGACCACCACGGCUCUGCUCCUUCCAGGUGAGGUGGGGGGGGCCUGGCCCUUAUGUGUUGGUGGCAGGCGGCCCGGGUUGGGGCUCCCACUCUGUGGUUCCUCCUCAGGAUGUUUGGGGAACUUUAGGGUACUCAACCGGAGGGGCGAGAGCCUAUUGGGUCACCUGGGAUUUGGGUACGGGACCAUAAUAUACAGGCUGGCUUCUUCUCUUUUAGCUCCUUCUUCAAGAUGAAUAAAUCGUUGCUGUGUGUAUCUAAAGGACUUCACCCGAUUGUUCUUUUCCCCACCAAGCCGUAGUCCUACCCGGUCACCAAAAGCUGGAGGUGACGUCCGCCACUGUAGUGGCAGAGCCCGGGAAAGUGGGCGGGGUUAUAGAGGCGACCACGCCCACAGCCCAGGUGGGCGGGGCCUGCAGCAUCGUCCACGUACUGGAGUGGAAGGAGGGAAUGACUCUUCUGCCCACCACUAACCUCAAAUUCUGUGUUGGCGAUGUGGGAACGCUGAGCGCGCUGAUCACCCCGGCGAUCGCCAGUAGCUCCCCCCAACCUGCCUCCGGGGCUUCUGGGAAGUCUGCCGCUGCAGAGGGA